UGAGCUCGCGGCCUAUCAGCUUGUUGGUGGGGUAAUGGCCUACCAAGGCGGCGACGGGUAGCCGGCCUGAGAGGGUGUACGGCCACAUUGGGACUGAGAUACGGCCCAGACUCCUACGGGAGGCAGCAGUGGGGAAUAUUGCACAAUGGGCGCAAGCCUGAUGCAGCGACGCCGCGUGGGGGAUGAAGGCCUUCGGGUUGUAAACUCCUUUCGCUAGGGACGAAGCUUUUUGUGACGGUACCUAGAUAAGAAGCACCGGCUAACUACGUGCCAGCAGCCGCGGUAAUACGUAGGGUGCGAGCGUUGUCCGGAAUUACUGGGCGUAAAGGGCUCGUAGGUGGUUUGUCGCGUCGUCUGUGAAAUUCUGGGGCUUAACUCCGGGCGUGCAGGCGAUACGGGCAUAACUUGAGUGCUGUAGGGGUAACUGGAAUUCCUGGUGUAGCGGUGAAAUGCGCAGAUAUCAGGAGGAACACCGAUGGCGAAGGCAGGUUACUGGGCAGUUACUGACGCUGAGGAGCGAAAGCAUGGGUAGCGAACAGGAUUAGAUA
rnacentral:rRNA from 1 species